AUUGAACGCUGGCGGCAGGCUUAACACAUGCAAGUCGAACGAGUGGCGGACGGGUGAGUAAUGCUUGGGAAUCUAGCUUAUGGAGGGGGCUAACUACGGUAAACUGUAGCUACUACCGCGUAACCUAGGCUGAGCCCAAGUGGGAUGAGGUAGUUGGUGAGCGAAAGGCGCACCAGGCCGACGAGCUCUAGCUGGUCUGAGAGGAUGACCAGCCACACUGGGACUGAGACACGGCCCAGACUCCUACGGGAGGCAGCAGUGGGGAAUAUUGCGGAAUGGGGGCAACCUGACGGAGCCAUGCCGCGGGAAUGAAGAAGGCCUUCGGGUUGUAAAGUUCUUGCGGUAGCGAGGCGUUAACUACAGAAGAAGCACCGGCUAACUCCGGGCCAGCCGCCGCGGUAAUUC
rnacentral:rRNA from 1 species